rnacentral:rRNA from 1 species
GACGAAGGAUGCAAGCGUUAUCCGGAUUCAUUGGGUUUAAAGGGAGCGUAGGCGGCCUUGUAAGUCAGUGGUGAAAUCUCUCGGCUUAACCGAGAAAUUGCCAUUGAUACUGCAGGGCUUGAGUACAGUUGCCGUUGGCGGAAUAUGACAUGUAGUGGUGAAAUACAUAGAGAUGUCAUAGAACACCGAUUGCGAAGGCAGCUAACGAAGCUGUAACUGACGCUGAGGCUCGAAAGUGCGGGGAGCAAACAGG